UCGAAACACUUUAGUCACGUGACUUGGGUGCUUCGGAUCAUGCUUCGGUGCAGUGAUUCGAAACACUUGCGCUUCGGGAUCUCGACACUGUGUCAAAACAUCAGUUUCACGUCAGCCAUCCCUAGUUAAGAGCAGGCCAACGACGUUUCUGCUAAAUCAUAGGUCACUGAUAUUGUCACCGAUCGAGAAAGAGCAGCUCUUGAGGGAUUGCCAAUUUUUCUUCGUAAAAAUUCUGCUUGCUUUCUCAAGAUAUGUCUGGUAAGUUACCCAUUUUCAUACCCUAUUCUACAUUUAUUAGUCUGCUUGGUAACACUUUUAAUAGCUGCACGCUAUAAAUAAUUUAUUUAGUAUUAGCGAAUAGUUAAUUUAUUUUCUGUUAAGCAUAACUCUACAUGAAGUGCUCAAUGAUUGUAUUUUUUUUAACUUUAAUGAUUCAUUUGUAUUACUAAUUUAAGUAUUGCAUUAUUUACAAACCAGUUAUUUAAGAAUAGUUGGUGUUUUUAAGAUCAUUCAGAAUGCUUAAGUACACGAUUAAUAAACUAUUCAAAUUAACAUUUAAAUAUCCUAAUAUUAAGGUAUGUAAUAAUAGUUACUUUGUAUGUUAGUAUAUGCUUUAUGAGCUUAACUUCAUCCAGUUGUGACCUAAUCUAAAGUGAGGACUAUUUAUGCUUUAUAAAUCCCUUAUGAAUGACAAUUAAAGGCUCAGUUAUAUUCUAAACAGGACAAUAAACAACUUUCACAAUUGAAACUGUAUCAAAUAAAAGUAAAUCUUUGCAAUUUUAUGUAAAAUAAAAGUUUAAAA
rnacentral:lncRNA from 1 species